rnacentral:antisense_RNA from 1 species
CUGGCUCUCCAUGCCUACCUGUGGUCUCUUGGACACCCUUGCAGAAGAUGACUUCCUGGGAACUCUUCUGGGAGUGAAUGUUAUCAGCAAAUUCCCAAAACAACACCCCUUAGACAAAAAGCCUCCUCACCUAUGCAUUGCCUAGACCACCCACUAAAGAUGGUGACCACGGAGGAAGACUUGUGUUGGGCCCAGUGGCCCUCGGCCAGUGUCCGUCUGCCAGGUGCUAGCCCCCGGUGCGCUGAAGCUCAGGCCGUUCCUGGUGCCCUGGCCUCCUGCCCUGAGCUGUGUGAGCUCUUCUGCCCAGGCAGGCCCCCUGGCAUUGACCGGCAUAGACAGUGAGCCUGGAGGAAGACUUGCCUUGGUCCCACUGUCCCUGGGCCAGUGUCCAUCAGCCAGGUGCCCAGACCCCAGUGCGCUGAAGCUCAGCCCGCCCUGGCACUCUGGUCUCCUGUACUGAGCUGUGUGAGCUCUUCCGCCCAUGAGGGCCCCCUGGCCUUGAGCAGCAUAGGU